rnacentral:lncRNA from 1 species
GAGUGGCUCUGUGGGGAUGCCAUCUACCUCAUAGCCUGUGUCAUUGUCCCCGGGAGGUGCACCCUGGAGCUGCUUUACACACAAACUGCACAGCUCUCUGCUUUAGCUGAGAACCCUCCUUUGUCAAAGGGGAGAAGGACUCAUCUACUUAUCAGAGACUUAUCCAGUGCCUACUUGAGCACCUGGGCCUGGGUAGUGCUCACAUAUAACCCAGGCCAGAAACGAUCAGGUCUCCUUCUGAAGAAGGUUAAGAGACAGGAUAGUGGCUACAAAUAUAAACAUCUAUGAUUCCAGAGUUCCCAUUGUGACUCAGUGGGUUAAGAACCUAAUGUCUCUGUGAAGAUGUGAGUUCAAUCCCUGGUUUCAGUCAGGGGGUUAAGGGAUCUGGCCUUGCUGCAAGCUGUGCUGUGGGACUCAGAUCCGGUGUUGCCGUGGCUGUGGUGUAGGCCUGCAGAUGCACUCUGAUUCGACCCCUAGCUCAGGAAUUUCCGUAUGCCAAAGGUACCCAUUUAAAAACAAAAACAAAAACAAAAAAAACCCCUAUAAUACCAAUAAUAAGCCUCCUAAGACCCUCUUUCUCAGGAAGAAAAUUGUAAAUGUUACCAUGCAGUAGUUGUAAAUAUUACUUUUAAAGUAUAAAUUCCAGUUUCCAUGGGCAAGAAUAUUAUGGUAACAAGCAUGUUAAAUUGCUAUUCCUUCCUUAUAGCUGAGCAUGUUGGAAGAGCCCAGGACUAGGUUUAUGAAUGUAAUUUCUGAAAUCUUGCAGCAGCAAAUGGAAAAAUUCUUCAACAAAUAGGGAAAUUGGAUUGACUCUAUAAUAAACUAUGGCAGUUGUAUGCAAGCUUUAAGCUUUUUAAAAUGGGCUACUUUUAAAUUUUGCUAAUUAUGCUCUUAUAUGCUCAUAAUUUGUUUUUGACAUGUGUUUACCCAGGGUUACUGAAAUUUGCAUUUGUCCAGGGCCCACUUACGAAUGUGUAUUUCUGAGUGUUCAUUACCAGACAGAACCAUGCUAGGUUGAGUGGAAUGGGCAAAACUCUUCACAGGGAGCCCCUUAGGGUUUUUCAGUUUGGAGUUAGGACCAUGCUGUAAAAUUUCCUUCAUACCUUCAUGAAAGAAAAUAGGCCAACAUUCAAAGCCUUUUCAAGUUGCUAAUGAACAAAAUGUAUUUCUAAAAAUUGUCUUUUGGGAGAGGAAUGUCUACCUUUUAACACAAAUCUGAAGAAUUCCAUUGAACCUCUGAAGAGCCACAUAUGCAAAGAGAAGAGACCUUUGGUACCUCUGACUACAAAGCCAGCCUCCCCAACAGCUCUGGUCAAAUAAUGAAUAUAUUACACAAUUAAAAGUUCACAUAGGUGUUCAUUUUUCCUGCGGUAAAACUGUCAGAGAAGGCAACUUAAAAAUCCAGUAACGGUGUCCUUCUCACCAACAAGUCCCCGCACAGGUGGGCACUCGUUCUAGUUCUGGGGUGGGUGGAUUAGAGAGUUCAUCUAACCGGUUACCUAGUUUUUAUAUGGAAUCAAGGGCUUUUACCUCAGAAAAACAAGUGUCUCCUCUCUUGUGUAAUUCCCUCUUGGGAAGAAGAUUUUCGAAUUCCAUGAGAAUUCACUAAAGUAACAUUUUAAAUCUAAUUAGAAAAAUAACACAAUGAGUUGCAGAAAACUUGGAAAAUACAUACAAACUAAAAUACAAGAGUUGAAAUAUGAAGCACUCGUCAAUCUAUAAGCAAAGAUAAAUAUUGUUAAAAUAUUUAAUGUAAAACCUAUUACUCUAGUCUUUGUAUCUAUUUUUUUUUCUUUUAAAUUACUAAACAAUGCAUGGUGAGUUAAAAACAUCCUUCUCUUAUACUGGUGUGUUGACAAGGGAUGAUUUCCCUUGGUUGAGUUCAAAACAUCUGUGAUAUAAGACGAAAGUGUUGGUAGAAUGGAGCCAAAACAUCAUCUUUAAUAUGAUGAAGAUUGUAUUGGAAAACUUGGCUUAUAAAUGCCAUCAAAGGGCCAUAUUAAUGCUGAACCCAUAUUUAACAGCUCAUCCAUCCUGGUCUGAUGAUGUAGGUCUUCCUCUCCAAAACACCUGUCCAUACAAUUCUAAAUACCAGGAGAGCAAAAGAGAGCUAAUGCUACCUGCAGGAAAACUCAUUCCCAAGAGGAAAAGUUGGAGUUCUUAUAUCCUUUGCCUAUUCCCAAACUCACUCAUCAAAGUUAGACAUUUCCACUUGAUAAGGAAAUGCGACAAGAUGAAGAGGAACCGGCAGUAACGGCUAACUAAAUUACCAGGAGGAGAUGUUGGGAUUGAGAAUGAAAAUGUCCCCACUCAUGUCCACCAAGGUAUAGCAUUGCUUUGAAUGGCUGUGUUGUAUUUUCAUAUCACAGAUAUAAUGUCAGUGUCUAAAUUAAUCCCUUCUUGUGAGAUCCUUUGUUUUCAUAAGUUCACUCCUAGAAACAGUAUUUUGAUAAAUAGCUUUGUGUCAUUGUUUUGCUUUCCUUUAUAGUUAUUUCUUUAGGAUUAAUUACUAAGUAUAUGUUGGCAAAUUUCUCUCCAGAAGGGCAGUCAACAAGGCAAACAUCCAUAAGCCUUGUUUGAAAUUAUCGCACGCAUAAGAAUGUUUUGAUUCCUAACAACCUCAGUAUCACAUUGUCAUUCUUCUUAGUCUUUAUCCAUUUAUUUAAAAGAAAAAAAAAACUGAUACAAUUUCUUCACUCAUUUCUUUGCUUACUCUUGAUAUUUAACCUGUUGUGUAUAUUUAAUGUAUAUUUAUAUGUCUUUUUUGUGUAUUAUUUUUUUUGAGCAGCCUUACUUUUCUUUAAAUGGUUAAUAGGCUAUGUUUAUUUCCUAGGAUUUUCAUCAUAUAAUAGAGUAUAUUGUCAAGGGCUUUGCAAGAAAUGAAACACCAUAUAAAGAUUCCAAUACAAAUUCUAAUUUAUAUUAAUGGUUAUAUUUUAAAAAUGCAGUAUACUGUUUUUAUCAUGAAUACUAAUGGUGCUUAUUUAAAACUGUUACCUUUAAAAGUUUUAAAUCAAGUAGUUUUUCCCAAAAUAGAUUUGGAACCCAUAAUAAACUGAUGUUGUCAACAAGAUUAAUUUUAUAAAUAGUCCAUGCUAAUUUUAUCUGAUUAAUAAUAAUAUAUGGAAGUAUCCUUCAUUUAGGUGUUUUCCCUUUCUAUAAGAACUUAAAAAAAAUACCUCUAAUAUCAGUGUUUGGGUCAUUUUAUGUGAUCAUUUCUCUCAAGAACUGAAGCCAAUUUCAGUGUAUGAAACCUGGGCAUUGUAUGCCACUGCCAUCAGAAAAUAUUGCCAUCUCUUCACCCUGGUCCUUGAACUUCGAGGUGAUACAGUUUGUGAGAAGAGUGUUUUUGCUUUCUAAUCCUUUGUGGGAAAAUCUUAUUUAUGGUUCCCAUCAACUAGAAUGCUCUAGUUCUAUUUCCUUUUCACAUCAAAAAUAAAUAUUUCUCAAAGCAAUGCCCAUCAUUGAAUUGAGUCCCCCUUGGCUACCGUGGAAAAUAAUGUUGCCAUAUCUAUUAUACGUGAUCUGGCGUGACCUCCCUACAUUAAUGCAUGGCCUCAUUACAAACGCUAAGCAUUUUGUUUCCUCUUUAAUUCUCAGUGGGGCACAGAUAUAUUAACCCAUGACAUUUUUCCUAAUAGAGAUGAAAGAAUGAAAGAAAUGCAUCUAACCUCGCAGAAGCAUUCAGUGUGCUGUUUUGCUACAAAAAAGCAAGCCAUUAUUUUGUGGUAUUGUUGUUCCUGUUGUUUGAAAGUUGUCCCUAGAAAAUAAAACCAUGCAAAUAAAUGCUAAGUCUGGUAAAAUGGCUAUUUGUAGGACCAACGAUCAUCCGCUUUCACAGGGUCUCUAGGUUGGGUCAUGGAGAUGGCUUUUCUCUUUGCAGCACUGAAAAUGCAGUUGUGCUGACGUGAGGGCAUCCAGAAGCAUAUUCAAAGCAAACCCAUGUCAGAUGAGAGAGUUUUGGUUAAGGCAGAAAUUACAUUGAAUGCCAUAAAAAAAGUUUGGAUACCAAAGGAUUUAGGAAGAUAGAAUUGCAGAAUCUACCAUCACACUUAGAGGUCUUGGCUUUGAAAUAUGGUCCAGUUCCUUUUUCCCUCUCAGUCACUAGCUGAGCCACCAGGAGGAAAGUAAUACUUAUCUCUCUGAAGCCUUUGGGGCUUAUUCAUUCUUUUAAAAGUGGGAGCUUUGGAGGAAAAUCAUUAGUCAUUGCCUGGGUACUAAAGAGAGGAAACCUCAUCCCCUAAACAAUGGCCGUUUUGCUGUUUGCAGUGAACCAUUCAACUGGGGAUUUUUUUGUUGUUGUUUCUUUGAGCUGAAUGAGGUUAUUCAUCACUUUAUCUCCCCCCAGGGCUAGUUAUUUUGUAGCUUACCGAAUAAAAGGCAGGAAAGAAAGAAAAGGGAGGUGGAGAGUGCAGUAUUUUCACUAGCCUCCUAAUUAUAAUGAUUUGUGAGUUACUAAACCGAAGUAAUAUCAAAUAUGUGUGCUGCGUGAGUCACUGCAUUAGUUUUAAGAUAUAUUGAGCUCUGUGUAGAUGAACUUUGGUCUUGAAAGUGGUGGCAAUGCUCUCAUGGCUUCCCAUUCAACUUAAAAUAAAAUCACUCUCACUCACAAUGGCUCUGGAGUUGCCUGUCAUUGGGCCCCUUGUCUCCUGUCUUAGCAUUCCAAUCACACCCCCUUUUCUGCCCCUGAAACACACCAAACUCAUGCAUACCCAGGGCUUCUUCCAAGAAAAUUCUCUAGAAGUUUGUGUGUAUGGAUCCAUGUUGUCACUCAAAUCAAAUUCAUUCUUGCAUUAGGGAGGAAAAGCCUUUCUUGACUAUUCUUUAGAAAAAUACUUCCCUCCCAGAUUCUCUCUACCACCACGUCCUGUUUUAGCAUCUUUAUAACAGUGAUUGCUGUCACAAAUCAUCCUGUCUAUUGAUAUGUGAACUUGUUCAUUGUCUGUCUCCCUAACUACUGUGUAAGCUUGGAGAGCAGGGCCCUAUCUAUCUUGCUCACCACUCUGCCCAGCGUCUAAAAGUGUGCUUGGCAUGUAGUUAGUACUCACUACAGACUUGCUGAAGGAAUCAGUGUUUGUAUAAUCUGUACGACUAUGUAUUUCUAUUAUUCAGAUGACAUCAACUAACUGUUAUCAAGUUCUAGAUACCCCAGAUAAAUAAACCUUAUUUUUGUAACUACACCAAAAUAUCCAAUCCAAAAUUAAGGUGACAUAUCUAAGAUUCCAGAUUGGAUCCCUUUCUUCUUUCAACAGUUUGUACUGAAUUGCAUAUGGACUCCAUGCUAGGCUCUGGAGGCCCAGGAG